AAUGCCUAGGAAUCUGCCUGGUAGUGGGGGACAACGUUUCGAAAGGAACGCUAAUACCGCAUACGUCCUACGGGAGAAAGCAGGGGACCUUCGGGCCUUGCGCUAUCAGAUGAGCCUAGGUCGGAUUAGCUAGUUGGUGAGGUAAUGGCUCACCAAGGCGACGAUCCGUAACUGGUCUGAGAGGAUGAUCAGUCACACUGGAACUGAGACACGGUCCAGACUCCUACGGGAGGCAGCAGUGGGGAAUAUUGGACAAUGGGCGAAAGCCUGAUCCAGCCAUGCCGCGUGUGUGAAGAAGGUCUUCGGAUUGUAAAGCACUUUAAGUUGGGAGGAAGGGUUGUAGAUUAAUACUCUGCAAUUUUGACGUUACCGACAGAAUAAGCACCGGCUAACUCUGUGCCAGCAGCCGCGGUAAUACAGAGGGUGCAAGCGUUAAUCGGAAUUACUGGGCGUAAAGCGCGCGUAGGUGGUUUGUUAAGUUGGAUGUGAAAUCCCCGGGCUCAACCUGGGAACUGCAUCCAAAACUGGCAAGCUAGAGUAUGGUAGAGGGUGGUGGAAUUUCCUGUGUAGCGGUGAAAUGCGUAGAUAUAGG
rnacentral:rRNA from 1 species